rnacentral:rRNA from 1 species
AUGUGUAGUAGAGAAGGAUUCAAGUCAAAAGAUAUUAAGGAGAUUAAUGACCCCUUGAGGAAAAGACGUAAGCAGACAGACACGCGAUGCGGUUGUGAUGCUCAUAUAUUUAUUAGACUUUGUGGGGAGAACACCUACAAGAUAGACUCAUGGAUUGAGCAUCAUGUUCAUGGUCUUGUAUCACCUGAUAAGCGUCAUUUGAUCAGAUCCAAUCGUAGAGUUAGUGAGAGGGCAAAGAAUACUUUAUACACAUGUCAUAAGGCAAGCAUUGGAACCUCCCAGGCAUACAGGCUCCUGCAAGUUAGCGAGGGUGGAAUUCCGAAUGCUGGGUGCACAAAGAGGGACUUGCAAAAUUACUAUCGCGGACUCAGGUAUAAAAUCAGAGACGCAGAUGCUCAAAUGUUUGUGGCCCAAUUAGCUAGAAAGCAGGAAGUGAAUUCAGCAUUUUUCUAUGAUUUUGAGGUGAAUGAUGAGGGGAACCUGGUGCAUGUGUUCUGGGCGGAUGCCACAAGCAGGAAGAACUAUAGUCACUUUGGUGAUGUGAUAUCCUUCGAUUCUACAUACACCACUAAUCAGUACAACAUGAUAUUUGCACCAUUUACAGGGGUUAAUCAUCACUUACAAAGUGUCUUUUUUGGUGCUGGAUUCUUAUCAAAUGAGAAGGAUGAGUCAUACAUUUGGUUAUUUCAGACCUUCCUAAAAGCAAUGGGAGGGGUAGCACCUAGACUCAUCAUAACUGAUGAAGCUGCUAGCAUCAAGAAUGGUAUUGACAAAGUUCUUCCAGCCACUAUGCAUAGGUUAUGCAUGUGGCAUAUAAUGGAAAAGGUGCCUGGAAAAGUUGGACCUUUGAUUAGGGAAGAUUCUGAAUUUUGGCCGAGGUUGAACUCAUGUGUUUGGGGUUCAGAAACUGCAAGUGAGUUUGAGUCACAAUGGAAUUCCAUCAUUACAGAUUUUGGGUUGGAGGAUAACGAGUGGUUAGCUAAGAGGUUUACCAUUAGAGAUACAUGGAUACCAGCCUACUUUAUGGAUAUAUCUCUUGCGGGCUUGCUCCGAACCACUUCAAGGUCAGAAAGUGCAAAUUCUUUUUUCAACCGUUUCAUUCAUCGUAGGCUUGCUUUUGUUGAGUUCUGGCUUAGGUUCGACACAGCUUUAGAAUGCCAACGUGAGGAAGAAUUAAUGGCAGACAACAGAAGCAUGCAUACCACCCCACAACUAUUUACGCCAUGGACAAUGGAGAAACAAGGUAGUGAGGUAUUCACAUAUGAGGUAUUCCAGAAAUUUCAGCUACAAGUUAUUGCUGCUAGAGAUCAUUGUUGUGUUCAGGGUAUUACACAAGGUGUGGGGUUAAAAACGGUGACCCUGAGAGGUCGAUCUGGUAAGGUUAGGGAGGUCUCCUAUGACACUACAACCAUGAUAGCAAAUUGUCCGUGCAAGUUAUUUGAGUCAAUCGGUAUUCCAUGUCGACAUAUUAUCCAAGUGUUGAGGAUUGAGAACCAAAAUGAGCUUCCCAACUAUUACAUUAUGAAAAGAUGGCAGAAACGGUGCAAGAGGUAA